rnacentral:rRNA from 1 species
UACAGAGGGUGCGAGCGUUAAUCGGAAUUACUGGGCGUAAAGCGCACGUAGGCGGCUUGGUAAGUCGGGUGUGAAAUCCCCGGGCUCAACCUGGGAACUGCAUCCGAAACUGCCUUGCUGGAGUAUGGGAGAGGGAAGUGGAAUUUCCGGUGUAGCGGUGAAAUGCGUAGAUAUCGGAAGGAACAUCAGUGGCGAAGGCGACUUCCUGGACCAAUACUGACGCUCAGGUGCGAAAGCGUGGGGAGCAAACAGG